CAGACGCAACAUUGUUCUCCAUCUAGUGGAUGCAGCUCCGCCCUCUGCGCGCGCGCGGGGCUUCAUUUCAUCAAAUUCAACUUGGACCACUUAGGCUCAGCCGCACUUUGGACUCCGCCGCAUUUGGCUCCAACGCCGCAACUUGCAGCAGUUUCUCUUCCACAUCGAGCUCAGAACCUCGUCCGGAGAGGCAGAGAAAACUCCCAGCAUCCGCUGCAUCCCGUUCUGCCCCCAGCGAUGGAGACGGAGGUCAGGUUCUGCCCAAAGUGGCACGGUGCGCUCCGGUUCGGGCUCUUCCUCCUCCUGCCCGGCUUGCUUGGCGUCGCCGAGGCUGAGAUAACCUGCAGGUCAUGCCGGGAUGGGAAUAUGUGGCGCGGCGCGCAGGAAUUACUGCUGAGGGUUGAAACAAGUGGUCCCGCUGCCGGGGCAAAGGGGGAAGUUUUGGGGAGCGGAGACCGGACCGGGAAGGUCCCCUGCGAGCCGGGCCCCGCUGGAUGCGCUCCAGACCGGGGGCAGCUGAGGCGGGAGCGGAUUACAGACAGCGGGAAAGUUUCCCAACACAAGGACGGUGUUGGUUCGACUCCACGGCGCUUCAGGAGGGACAGUGGCGGGGAUGCAGUCAGAUCAGCCCCGGCAGAGGGAGCGACGGCGGCGGCGGCGGCGGCGGCGUGGCGCAGAGCGGCGCGCUGGAGCGGAGAGGAGCGCAGAGCGGCCGGCGCGCGGCAGGAGGAGUUAAAGCUCAACAGCUCCACGUUCGCCCUGACCGGGGACUCAUCCCACAACCAGGCCAUGGUGCACUGGUCCGGCCACAACAGCAGCGUAAUUCUGAUGCUAACCAAACUCUUUGACUUCAACCUCAACAGCGUGACGGAGAGUUCGUUAUGGAGGUCAACUGACUAUGGAGCAACGUACCAGAAGCUGAACGACAAAGUGGGAGCGAAGACGAUCCUCAGCUACCUGUAUGUGAGCCCCAACAACAAGAGGAAGAUUAUGCUGCUGACGGAUCCGGAGAUAGAGAGCAGCCUCCUGAUCAGCUCUGAUGAAGGAGCCACAUACCAGAAGUACCGACUCAACUUCUACAUCCUGAGCCUCCUGUUUCACCCCGAGCAGGAGGACUGGAUCCUGGCAUACAGCCACGACCAAAAGCUUUACAGUUCUGUUGAGUUUGGAAGAAGAUGGCAGCUGGUGCACGAGAAAGUGGCUCCUAAUCGUUUCUAUUGGUCCAAGAUGGGUUUGGACAAAGAGCCGGGCUUAAUUCACCUGGAAACCAGCAUCUCUGAAGGACAGGCGCUGUACGUCACCUGCAAGCUGCAGAACUGCACAGACGCCAACAAGGGCAAACCAUUCCCCGGAUACAUUGACCCCAAUUCCCUGGUGGUGCAGGAUGAGUAUGUGUUUGUCCAGGUGUCCACUGCAGGGAGGCCGGUCUACUACGUUUCUGCAAAACGAGACGUCUUUACCCCGAUGAAGCUGCCAAAGUACACCCUGCCCAAGGAGCUGCAUGUGAUCAGUACAGAUGAAAACCGCGUGGUGGCUGCUGUUCAGGAGUGGAACCAGAAUGAAACCUACAACCUGUACGUGUCGGACACUUCGGGCGUCUUCUACACUCUGGCUCUGGAGAACGUGGUCAGCAGCAUGGGCCUGGAGGGCAACGUCAUGGUGGACCUCUAUGAGGUGGCAGGAAUAAAGGGCAUGUUCCUGGCCAACAAAAAGACUGAUAACCAAGUAAAGACGUACAUCACUUAUAACCGCGGCAGAGACUGGAGGUUACUGCAGGCCCCCAGCAGAGACCUGAGAGGCAACAGCAUCCACUGUGUGCUGCCGUACUGCUCAUUACAUCUCCAUCUUCACGUGUCUGCCAACCCCUACACAUCUGGAAACAUCGCCAGCAGGGAGUCGGCGCCGGGGAUCAUCGUCGCCUCAGGCUCCAUCGGUUCAGAACUGACCACCAGCAAUGUGAGCGCGUUCAUCACCUCCGAUGCAGGAAACACGUGGAGACAGAUCUUUGAUGAGGAGUACGCCGUGCUUUAUCUCGACCAAGGUGGAGCCUUGGUGGCAAUAAGACACACUCCACUUCCCAUCCGACACCUAUGGUUGAGCUUCGACGAAGGACGGCAGUGGAACAAGUACAGCUUCUCCAACACGCCUCUGUUUGUGGACGGGGUGCUGGGCGAGCCGGGCGAGGAGACGCUCAUCAUGACGAUCUUUGGGCACUUCAGUCAUCGCUCUGAGUGGCAGCUGGUGAAAAUAGAUUUCAGGUCCAUCUUCAACAGGAGAUGCACCGAGGCGGACUACCAGACGUGGCACCUACACAACCAGGGUGAGCCGUGUCUGAUGGGCGUGAAGAGAAUCUACCGGAAGCUGAAGCCGACCUCCAGGUGCGUCAUGGGAAAGACGUACUCCGUGGCGAUGACCUCGGCUCCCUGCGACUGCACGGAGGCGGACUUCGAGUGUGAUUACGGCUAUGAGAGGCGGAGUGAUGGGAAGUGCAGCCCCGCCUUCUGGUUCCAUCCGUCCUCCAUGUCCCGCAGCUGCACCACGGGGAUGACGUUCCUCAACAGCACGGGCUACAGGAAGGUGGUGUCCAAUAACUGCACAGCUGGAGUGAUAGCAGAGUACACGGCCCGGCGACAGCACUGCCCCGUCCAGGCUCCCAAAGGCCUCCACCUGGUCACCAGCGAGGGCCGGCUGACCGCCACGCUGGGCGCCAACGUCACCUUCCUGGUUUUCCUGGAGGAGGGAGACGGAGCGAGGACCAGCAUCACGGUGGACUUUGGAGAUGGUCACGCUCUGACCUACUCCAACGUGAGCUCCAUCGAGGACGGCAUCAAGCACAUCUACAAAUCCGUGGGAAUCUAUCGGGUGACGGCCACCGGGGAGAACAGCCUCGGUUCUGAGACCGCCACGCUCUUCCUGCACGUCACAUGUCAGCUGGAGCACAUCCAUCUCUCUGCUCCCUUUGUGGUGGUGAGGAACAAGGAAGUGAACCUGACCGCCGUUCUGCAUCCCAGCCAAGUGGGAACGGUCACCUACAUCUGGUGGAUCGGAAAUAACACCGAGCAGCCUGUUAUCACCCUGGAGGGAAGCGUGGCGUGUACGUUCUCCAGGGAAGGGAUCAACACAGUCACGGUGCAGGUGUCUGCUGGGAACGCCAUCCUGCAGGACAGGAAAACUAUCGCUGUCCACGAAUAUUUCCGAUCCCACCUGCUGGCCUUCUCCUCGAACCUGGACGAACACAACCCGGACGUGGCUGAGUGGAGGCAGGAUGUGAGCCGGGUGAUCCGGAACGCUCUGAUCCAGGCGACAGGCGUACGGGAGGACCUGCUCCUGGUCACCGUCCUGCCAGGUCUACCAACAGCAGCCGAGUUUUUCCUGCUGCCUGACAAGCAGCUGACCGAGGGGAAAGCAGAGAAGAGCUCGGCUCAUUUAGAUCAGCUCUCUGACCUCCUGCUGAACGCCUUGAAUCAGAACCUGGUCCAGUUCACGCUGCGGCCGGGGGUCCAGGUCACCGUGUACGCCGCUCACCUGUCGGCAGCUACACAGAGACAUUCAGAGACGUAUGUGUGCCUCUUCCUUUUGGGGAUGCUGCUACUGUCCUAAAGGGGCUUUUAAGCUAAAGACGCCCCUGGUGGACACCAGCGAGAACCACAGUGGCUCUGCCAUGCUAAUGCUGCUCUCUGUAGUGGUUGCGGGUUUAGCUGUGUUUGUCAUCUACAAAUUUAAGAGAUCCCAGGCCUCAACGUCUAUGCGCAGAUGCAGAACGACAAAGAACCAGAAGUGAUGAGUCCAGCCAAUCCCUCAGAGGCCACGCCCAGCUCACCGCAGGACUUGGUGCCUUCUCUGGAGAUUCUGGACACCGAGUUGAACUCGCGGCCCAUCGUGAAGUGGUCCAGACUGCAGGAGAACUAGACAUAAACAGAUCAGAGGCUGUUAGUGGAUGUAUGAAACCUCAUGUACAUGUGAAAUUCUCCACAGAACUCCCCACAUACAUCGUCUGAACUCUGGACUGACGCCUCCAGCUUCCAUCAUGGAUUUGAUCUUACUUUUGUUUUGAUUUUGGUUUGGAUCUCGAUGGUUUGGAGCUUUACACCUGUGCAUGUUGGAGCCGGAUGACACUCACUGCUCUGCUGGAAGCAGAAGAAACUGUACAGGUUUUGUUUUCUUCUCGUUUCUCCUUCAUGUUUUAAAAGAAACAUGUUCAGACUUGAGUUUGUUUCUGAGUCGGAGGAUCGCCAGCAUGAAAGUUUGGGAUUUUCUCACAUCCUGGAUCAGUUUGCUGCUUUCUGAUGCAAACAGCAGACGGUGUAUUAUUUAUUCAUAUAAAAUACUUUCAUGAAGUACGAUAUGGAAGUGAGUGACACAUUUAUUUUGUAAAUUAUGAAUGUCUAUGUUAGAACUUUGUGUAUUUUAAUAACAAAUGUACUAAAAAGAGACACUGUUAUAAAAUAUGACUCGGCUAUUUCAAAGCUUUUGAUCUACUGUCCUCAAAAAGCUGAUUUAUGGCACAAAGCAGGUUUUCUACAGAAAUAUUCUGCUUUUAUUUUGGCUUUUACAACAACGUUGAGUUUUCAGGAUUAAUUUAAGCCUUCAUGUUUGUCGCCUCUGCUCAUGUUGAUGACACCUGCCAGUUUGUAAAAAGCUCCGUGCUUCAGAACCUCCUUCCCACAGCCGGCCCACAGCCUUCAGCAGAGCUUUCAUGAGCAAAGAUCAAACCGUGUGUGUGGAUGGCGUCGAUGGCGCCGGUGGUCCUGGAAUGACCGCAGGAGGCCAAGUGGAGCUUAUCGAGACCCGCGUAGAAAAGCGGGACCUGGACUGAGAUCCAGCUGCUUUGCAGGAGAAGUUAAAGAGCUGGAAACACAGAGACAGAUGGAAGUAAGGCGAAGCAUUAGGAGGGCGACUGCUUGAAUACUUAAUGUGGCCCGUCGAGCUCAAGGUUGGUGACACAUCUGGGUUAAUGUGACCCGCUGCAGCGAGGCGGGCCGGCCGUCUUCAUCCCGGCUCAUUGGGACAUGCUGCAGGAGCGCAGCAGCUGCAGCUGCAGGGCGCCGCGGUCGGCUCGGACCAGACACAUGGAAACGCCUGAUUGAUGCUUUCACAGGUUCUGAGGCAACGCAGCCGGACCCGGUUAGAACAUUUUUAAACCAAUGUUAGGUCCAAACAAAGCUUUUCCAUGUACCACACCGUGGAAAAGUAUUCAGAUCCCUGGAAAUGUCCUUAUUUUGUCACAUUACAAACAUAACAGUCAGUAUUUUCUUCCAGCUCUAUGUGAUGGAUCAACACAAAGUGAAAGUUUGUGGACUUUGGAAUGAAACAGCUUCACAGUUCACUGAGGGUUUUACUCACCUGCAGACGCUUUCUGGCACAUUAUUCUUUGCAAAUUAGUUUAAAGCUCCAUCAGAUUGGAUGAAAAGCUUCUGAGAACAUCUAUUUAAAGCACUGAGCUUUGACUAGGCCUUUCUAGCACCUACAUUUCUCUUGCCUUUGGCUGCAUGUUUG